rnacentral:rRNA from 1 species
AUUGAACGCUGGCGGCAGGCCUAACACAUGCAAGUCGAGCGGAUGAAGGGAGCUUGCUCCUGGAUUCAGCGGCGGACGGGUGAGUAAUGCCUAGGAAUCUGCCUGGUAGUGGGGGAUAACGUCCGGAAACGGGCGCUAAUACCGCAUACGUCCUGAGGGAGAAAGUGGGGGAUCUUCGGACCUCACGCUAUCAGAUGAGCCUAGGUCGGAUUAGCUAGUUGGUGGGGUAAAGGCCUACCAAGGCGACGAUCCGUAACUGGUCUGAGAGGAUGAUCAGUCACACUGGAACUGAGACACGCUCCAGACUCCUACGGGAGGCAGCAGUGGGGAAUAUUGGACACUGGGCGAAAGCCUGAUCCAGCCAUGCCGCGUGUGUGAAGAAGGUCUUCGGAUUGUAAAGCACUUUAAGUUGGGAGAAAGGGCAGUAAGUUAAUACCUUGCUGUUUUGACGUUACCAACAGAAUAAGCACCGGCUAACUUCGUG